UACGGAGGGGGCUAGCGUUGUUCGGAAUUACUGGGCGUAAAGCGCACGUAGGCGGCCAUUUAAGUCAGAGGUGAAAGCCUGGAGCUCAACUCCAGAACUGCCUUUGAGACUGGAUGGCUAGAAUCUUGGAGAGGCGGGUGGAAUUCCGAGUGUAGAGGUGAAAUUCGUAGAUAUUCGGAAGAACACCAGUGGCGAAGGCGGCCCGCUGGACAAGUAUUGACGCUGAGGUGCGAAAGCGUGGGGAGCAAACAGG
rnacentral:rRNA from 1 species